UACGGAGGGGGCUAGCGUUGUUCGGAAUUACUGGGCGUAAAGCGCACGUAGGCGGCUUUGCAAGUUAGAGGUGAAAGCCCGGGGCUCAACUCCGGAAUUGCCUUUAAAACUGCAUCGCUAGAAUUGUGGAGAGGUAAGUGGAAUUCCGAGUGUAGAGGUGAAGUUCGUAGAUAUUCGGAAGAACACCAGUGGCGAAGGCGACUUACUGGACACAUAUUGACGCUGAGGUGCGAAAGCGUGGGGAGCAAACAGG
rnacentral:rRNA from 1 species